rnacentral:rRNA from 1 species
GACGUAGGGGGCGAGCGUUGUCCGGAUUUAUUGGGCGUAAAGAGCUCGUAGGCGGUCUGUCGCGUCGGCUGUGAAAACUUGGGGCUCAACCCCAAGCCUGCAGUCGAUACGGGCAGACUAGAGUGCGGUAGGGGAGACUGGAAUUCCUGGUGUAGCGGUGAAAUGCGCAGAUAUCAGGAGGAACACCGGUGGCGAAGGCGGAUCUCUGGGCCUGUCCUGACGCUGAGGCGCGAAAGCUAGGGGAGCGAACAGG